rnacentral:rRNA from 1 species
AUUGAACGCUGGCGGCAGGCCUAACACAUGCAAGUCGAACGAGUGGCGGACGGGUGAGUAAUGUAUGGGAAACUGCCUGAUUGAGGGGGAUAACUACUGGAAACGGUAGCUAAUACCGCAUACCAUCGGAUGUGCCCAGAUGGGAUUAGCUCGUAGGUGGGGUAAAGGCCCACCUCGGCGACGAUCCCUAGCGGGUCUGAGAGGAUGACCAGCAACACGGGAACUGAGACACGGUCCGGAGUCCUACGGGAGGCAGAAGGGGGGAAUAUUGCACAAUGGGCGCAAGCCUGAUACGGCCAUGCCGCGUGUAUGAAGAAGGCCUUCGGGUUGUAAAGUACUUUCAUCGGGGAGGCGGUACCCGCAGAAGAAGCACCGGCUAACUCCGUGCCAGCAGCCGCGGUAAUAC